rnacentral:rRNA from 1 species
UUCCUGUCCAACGUUAAUCGGGGCAGGGUGAGUCGACCCCUAAGGCGAGGCCGAAAGGCGUAGUCGAUGGGAAACAGGUUAAUAUUCCUGUACUUGGUGUUACUGCGAAGGGGGGACGGAGAAGGCUAUGUUGGCCGGGCGACGGUUGUCCCGGUUUAAGCGUGUAGGCUGGUUUUCCAGGCAAAUCCGGAAAAUCAAGGCUGAGGCGUGAUGACGAGGCACUACGGUGCUGAAGCAACAAAUGCCCUGCUUCCAGGAAAAGCCUCUAAGCAUCAGGUAACAUCAAAUCGUACCCCAAACCGACACAGGUGGUCAGGUAGAGAAUACCAAGGCGCUUGAGAGAACUCGGGUGAAGGAACUAGGCAAAAUGGUGCCGUAACUUCGGGAGAAGGCACGCUGAUAUGUAGGUGAAGUCCCUCGCGGAUGGAGCUGAAAUCAGUCGAAGAUACCAGCUGGCUGCAACUGUUUAUUAAAAACACAGCACUGUGCAAACACGAAAGUGGACGUAUACGGUGUGACGCCUGCCCGGUGCCGGAAGGUUAAUUGAUGGGGUUAGCGCAAGCGAAGCUCUUGAUCGAAGCCCCGGUAAACGGCGGCCGUAACUAUAACGGUCCUAAGGUAGCGAAAUUCCUUGUCGGGUAAGUUCCGACCUGCACGAAUGGCGUAAUGAUGGCCAGGCUGUCUCCACCCGAGACUCAGUGAAAUUGAACUCGCUGUGAAGAUGCAGUGUACCCGCGGCAAGACGGAAAGACCCCGUGAACCUUUACUAUAGCUUGACACUGAACAUUGAGCCUUGAUGUGUAGGAUAGGUGGGAGGCUUUGAAGUGUGGACGCCAGUCUGCAUGGAGCCGACCUUGAAAUACCACCCUUUAAUGUUUGAUGUUCUAACGUUGACCCGUAAUCCGGGUUGCGGACAGUGUCUGGUGGGUAGUUUGACUGGGGCGGUCUCCUCCUAAAGAGUAACGGAGGAGCACGAAGGUUGGCUAAUCCUGGUCGGACAUCAGGAGGUUAGUGCAAUGGCAUAAGCCAGCUUGACUGCGAGCGUGACGGCGCGAGCAGGUGCGAAAGCAGGUCAUAGUGAUCCGGUGGUUCUGAAUGGAAGGGCCAUCGCUCAACGGAUAAAAGGUACUCCGGGGAUAACAGGCUGAUACCGCCCAAGAGUUCAUAUCGACGGCGGUGUUUGGCACCUCGAUGUCGGCUCAUCACAUCCUGGGGCUGAAGUAGGUCCCAAGGGUAUGGCUGUUCGCCAUUUAAAGUGGUACGCGAGCUGGGUUUAGAACGUCGUGAGACAGUUCGGUCCCUAUCUGCCGUGGGCGCUGGAGAACUGAGGGGGGCUGCUCCUAGUACGAGAGGACCGGAGUGGACGCAUCACUGGUGUUCGGGUUGUCAUGCCAAUGGCACUGCCCGGUAGCUAAAUGCGGAAGAGAUAAGUGCUGAAAGCAUCUAAGCACGAAACUUGCCCCGAGAUGAGUUCUCCCUGACCC